CCGGCGACCGGCGGACGGGUGCGUAACGCGUAUGUAACCUACCUUUGGCAGGGGGAUAACAUCGAGAAAUUGGUACUAAUACCCCAUAACAUCACCGGAGGCAUCUUCGGUGGUUGAAAACUCAGGUGGUCAGAGAUGGACAUGCGUUGUAUUAGCUAGUUGGUGAGGUAACGGCUCACCAAGGCGACGAUACAUAGGGGGACUGAGAGGUCAACCCCCCACAUUGGUACUGAGACACGGACCAAACUCCUACGGAAGGCAGCAG
rnacentral:rRNA from 1 species